GACGAACGCUGGCGGCGUGCUUAACACAUGCAAGUCGAACGGAAAGGCCCUGCUUUUGUGGGGUGCUCGAGUGGCGAACGGGUGAGUAACACGUGAGUAACCUGCCCUUGACUUUGGGAUAACUUCAGGAAACUGGGGCUAAUACCGGAUAGGAGCUCCUGCUGCAUGGUGGGGGUUGGAAAGUUUCGGCGGUUGGGGAUGGACUCGCGGCUUGUCAGCUUGUUGGUGGGGUAGUGGCUUACCAAGGGUUUGACGGGUAGCCGGCCUGAGAGGGUGACCGGCCACAUUGGGACUGAGAUACGGCCCAGACUCCUACGGGAGGCAGCAGUGGGGAAUAUUGCACAAUGGGCGGAAGCCUGAUGCAGCAACGCCGCGUGCGGGAUGACGGCCUUCGGGUUGUAAACCGCUUUCGCCUGUGACGAAGCGUGAGUGACGGUAAUGGGUAAAGAAGCACCGGCUAACUACGUG
rnacentral:rRNA from 1 species